AGAGUCGCCCGGAUCACCGCGUUGCCGCAAGGUACCGAGGAAAGUCCGGACUCCAUAGAGCAAAGUGGUGGGUAACGCCCACCCGGAGCAAUCCGCGGGAUUAGUGCAACAGAAAGCAAACCGCCUUUUAGAAAUAAAAGGUAAGGGUGAAACGGCGGUGUAAGAGACCACCAGUAAUUGCAGCAAUGCAGUUAGCUAUGUAAAC
rnacentral:RNase_P_RNA from 1 species